rnacentral:rRNA from 1 species
CCUACGGGUGGCAGCAGUGAGGAAUAUUGGUCAAUGGGCGCGAGCCUGAACCAGCCAAGUAGCGUGAAGGAUGACUGCCCUAUGGGUUGUAAACUUCUUUUAUAUGGGAAUAAAGUGCAGUAUGUAUACUGCUUUGCAUGUACCUUCUGAAUCAGGAUCGGCUAACUCCGUGCCAGCAGCCGCGGUAAUACGGAGGAUCCGAGCGUUAUCCGGAUUUCUUGGGUUUAAAGGGAGCCUAGGCGGGUUGUUAAGUCAGUUGUUAAAGUUUGCGGCUCAACCGUACAAUUGCAGUUGAGACUGGCGUUCUUGAGUGAGCGAGAAGUAUGCGGAAUGCGUGGUGUAGCGGUGAAAUGCAUAGAUAUCACGCAGAACUCCGAUUGCGAAGGCAGCAUACCGGCGCCCAACUGACGCUGAAGCACGAAAGCGUGGGUAUCGAACAGGAUUAGAUACCCUUGUAGUC